UUGAACGCUGGCGGCAGGCCUAACACAUGCAAGUCGAACGGUAACAGGAAACAGCUUGCUGUUUCGCUGACGAGUGGCGGACGGGUGAGUAAUGUCUGGGAAACUGCCUGAUGGAGGGGGAUAACUACUGGAAACGGUAGCUAAUACCGCAUAACGUCGCAAGACCAAAGAGGGGGACCUUCGGGCCUCUUGCCAUCGGAUGUGCCCAGAUGGGAUUAGCUAGUAGGUGGGUAACGGCUCACCUAGGCGACGAUCCCUAGCUGGUCUGAGAGGAUGACCAGCCACACUGGAACUGAGACACGGUCCAGACUCCUACGGGAGGCAGCAGUGGGGAAUAUUGCACAAUGGGCGCAAGCCUGAUGCAGCCAUGCCGCGUGU
rnacentral:rRNA from 1 species